GGGAGUGACGUCAAGUCAUCAUGGCCCUUACGGCCAGGGCUACACACGUGCUACAAUGGUCGGUACAAAGGGUUGCCCAAGCCGCGAGGUGGAGCUAAUCCCAUAAAACCGAUCGUAGUCCGGAUCGCAGUCUGCAACUCGACUGCGUGAAGUCGGAAUCGCUAGUAAUCGUGAAUCAGAAUGUCCACGGUCGAAUACGUUCCGGGCCUU
rnacentral:rRNA from 1 species